rnacentral:rRNA from 1 species
GAUGAACGCUAGCGGCAGGCCUAAUACAUGCAAGUCGAGGGGUAGAGAAGAGCUUGCUUUUCUUGAGACCGGCGCACGGGUGCGUAACGCGUAUGCAACCUACCUUUAUCAAGGGGAUAGCCUCUCGAAAGAGAGAUUAACACCGCAUAAAAACACAGUACGGCAUCGUACAAUGUUCAAAUAUUUAUAGGAUAAAGAUGGGCAUGCGUGACAUUAGCUAGUUGGUGAGGUAAGGGCUCACCAAGGCGACGAUGUCUAGGGGAUCUGAGAGGAUGACCCCCCACACUGGUACUGAGACACGGACCAGACUCCUACGGGAGGCAGCAGUAAGGAAUAUUGGUCAAUGGGGGCAACCCUGAACCAGCCAUGCCGCGUGCAGGAAGACGGCCCUACGGGUUGUAAACUGCUUUUAUACGGGAAUAAACCCCUUUACGUGUAAAGGGUUGAAUGUACUGUAAGAAUAAGGAUCGGCUAACUCCGUGCCAGCCGCCGCAGUAAAAC